UCUUAUAAUGAAAAGGGGAAUACACCUUCCUCUACACUGUCAGUAUAAGCAGAUGUCAUUGCUUCUCCUAAUCCCAACCUAGCUAAAGUUUUAGCAAGUGAUAACAGCAAGCACCAUGUUUCUGGUUUCAAUGACAAGUGGCUGACUGAGUUUUCAUGGCUUACAAAUGUUAAAGGGGGUAUAAGCAAAAGUUAUUGUGAGAGGGGUUUUUCAACCCUAAAGAGGAUAAAGACAAAAUUGAGGAACAGACUGUCCAACAAAAUAACACUAUCUUAAAACAUUAUCCCUAGAAGGAGCAGAGAGUACAUAUAUAGAUGAAUAUUUAUAUUUUGACUGAUAAAUAACUUUUGUGUUCAAUUUAUUUCAUAUAAAUAUAUAUAUUCUUGUAAUCCAUAAAAAUACUCUGCAUUAUCAAA
rnacentral:lncRNA from 1 species